rnacentral:rRNA from 1 species
CCUACGGGAGGCAGCAGUAGGGAAUAUUGCUCAAUGGGGGAAACCCUGAAGCAGCAACGCCGCGUGGAUGAUGAAGGUUUUCGGAUUGUAAACUCCUUUUGUUAGAGAAGAUAAUGACGGUAUCUAACGAAUAAGCACCGGCUAACUCCGUGCCAGCAUCCGCGGUAAUACGGAGGGUGCAAGCGUUACUCGGAAUCACUGGGCGGAAAGAGCGCGUAGGCGGGAUAGCAAGUCAGAUGUGAAAUCCUAUGGCUUAACCAUAGAACUGCAUGUGAAACUGUUAUUCUAGAGUAUGGGAGAGGUAGGUGGAAUUCUUGGUGGAGGGGUAAAAUCCGUAGAGAUCAAGAGGAAUACUCAUUGCGAAGGCGACCUGCUAGAACAUAACUGACGCUGAUGCGCGAAAGCGUGGGGAGCAAACAGGAUUAGAUACCCGAGUAGUC